rnacentral:lncRNA from 1 species
UCCCACGAGAACUUGGUCAAUCAAAAGGGAGGUGCAUCUGGCGAGCUUGUCCGGCGGGAGUCUGGAUGGGUGGUGCGAGCCAGGUCACGCUGAUCCGAAAACCAAUCAGGCCACUAGGAAUUCUCCAGAGCUCAUCCGCUAUUGUGACUUGUGACUUUGUGAGCAGGUUACUGUAGACGUCUCCGUUGACUAAGAUAUAAGCACAUAGAGUAAGUAAUUACCAUCGCUUGUCGCAAGCGUUGUAUGAAGCCGUCGACAGCGUAAUAAGCUGGGUAGAUUUCUCUAUCGGAUCACUUUCUUAAUACUCCCCUAAGCAUCCGUGAACGAUGAGGUGUUGCGUACUUUAAAGUCCUCCUGUAGUCCCGCGUCCUCGUUCACAAAGGUCACCAACGCAAAGGACAAAUCUCGCAGUACCAAGACUCUGUCUCGCGCUGUCCAAGUGUCAAACUCAAAUGCUGCAUGUUCUGGUUGGAAUUUGUGAGACAGUACGCUAGUUGCCAGCUCAAAUUGGAGCUCUAGCAAGCAUGGAAAGAGGAGCGAGAUUUGCAUUCAGUAGCAAACAUGACUGCAUAUUUUGUUGCACUUUGUACCGGAGCCGAAUCCUGAAGCUGUUUCUCAGUUGAUGAAGAUGGAACUCAAAUCAACAACUGUGAGCUGCUUAGUUCCUAAAGAUCUUGCUUCCAUUUUUUUUUUCAAACGACCAUUGAUGAACAACAAAGUUUGCUCAACAAACAAGUACACAUCCGCAUAGUUUAACUUGCCUUGCACACAUGUUAUUCCACAAGGAAGAGAUGAAACCGGGUGACUGUUUCAAGAUGGACAGGAGCAAAUUCUUCCUUGCAUGCAUGCUUGCAAUGGCCUGCAGUGCCUACAAAGUACUACACGAUACCAGUACUUGCCAAGCAACAUCCCAAACGGCCUCACGAAGAAGAAGAAGAAGCUCCGCGCCCGCCAGCUUUGGGAUGCACCUUCUUCUUGAUCAACCCAAAAAGUACGCCGUCUCCUUUGACGCCAGCUUCUCCAGUAGUAGUCUUCUUCCCUGAUGCUCCAUCGCCGGCCUUUUUCUCUCCUUGUGCCGCCGAGCUGCCAUCGACGGCGGCGGCGUUCGCUUCUGCCAUCCCAGUCUCCUUCUUACAGGCGUUCUUCCGCACGUAGGCCUCGGCGAAGUCUCCGCUUAUCAUGGACGCCAUCUUCUUGCUCUGUUUCUCCGGCGCGGCGCCCGGGUUUUCCCAAAGGGCUAAGUGUGUAGUUUUUUUUUCCUUUACCCUCUCGGCCUCUCCUGUACUGUGAGUAAGCGUAGACGAGUGUAGCAAGGGCUGUAUAUAUAGCGAGAAAGGAGGAGAAGAAACUUGGGAUCCAAGGCAGGUAACUCGGCGUGUAGUUUCGGUUCCCUUGACGACCUGCUUGGUUGAACUGCACGGUUGGUGAGAUGCCACCGCAGCAUGAUUGACGAAGCGUUCGCUCAGUAGACACUCGUGGCGAGUAAGCCG